ACCAGAAGCACGCGACCUCAGUGAAACCUGUUCGGUGACGUGUCAAGUCCCGAACUUCAGACGCGCAGAGUUCGAGUUUUGCACAAGCAACGUGCAGACAGUGUUUAUCGAUUACAGAACGAUGCAGUUUUACUUGGAUGCACAGUAUCUUAGAGUAGGGUCUCAUGAGCAGAAGCAGUAGACCACACAACAACAUGAGCAGAUACACAGACUGCGACGAGACAGCUGGACUGGAGUCAAAGAUGCUGCCACCGCCGCCGUUAUCCUCCGUGACGACGAUCACAGAAGACGGCGUUGU